rnacentral:rRNA from 1 species
AGAUUCUGGGAGGACCACUGGUUUGGCAGUGCUACUUUGGCUACCCAAUACUGGGAACUGUAUAACCUAGCUAAUGAGCAUAAUGCCACUAUUGAUAAAAUAUGGGAUGGCUAUACCCUG